rnacentral:rRNA from 1 species
AGCGAACGCUGGCGGCAGGCCUAACACAUGCAAGUCGAACGAACCUUUCGGGGUUAGUGGCGGACGGGUUAGUAACACGUGGGAACGUGCCUUUAUGUUCGGAAUAACUCAGGGAAACUUGUGCUAAUACCGAAUGUGCCCUUCUGGGGAAAGAUUUAUCGCCUUUAGAGGGUCCGGCGUCUGAUUAGCUAUUUGGUUGAGGUAAUGGCUCACCAAGGCGACGUUCAGUAGCUGGUCUGAGAGGAUGAUCAGCAACAUUGGGACUGAGACACGGCCCAAACUCCUACGGGAGGCAGCAGUGGGGAAUCUUGCACAAUGGGCGAAAGGCUGACGCAGCCAUGCCGCGUGAAUGAUGAAGGUCUUAGGAUUGUAAAAUUCUUUCACCGGGGACGAUAAUGACGGUACCCGGAGAAGAAGCCCCGGCUAACUUCGUG